CUGCUUGUCUUUGGCAGCACAUAUACCAAAGUUGAAACAAUACAGAGAAGAUUAGCAUGGUUCCUGCUCAAGUAGUGUUUUUUAAGGAGUAAAGGGGAAGUCUGUGCUA